AGCAGCCGCGGUAAUUCCAGCUCCAAUAGCGUAUAUUAAAGUUGUUGCAGUUAAAAAGCUCGUAGUUGAAUUUCGGGGUUCUACCGUUGGUCGGGCAAUUGUCUGUACUGGCGUGUGGAAUUUCUACCUUCUGGGGAACCAUCAUGUUAUUUAUUUAGUGUGGUGGGAAACCAGGACCUUUACCUUGAAAAAAUUAGAGUGUUCAAAGCAGGCUUACGUCUGAAUACAUUAGCAUGGAAUAAUAAAAUAGGACGGUGGUCCUGUUUUGUUGGUUUCUGAAUCACCGUAAUGAUUAAUAGGGAUAGUUGGGGGCAUUAGUAUUCAAUUGUCAGAGGUGAAAUUCUUGGAUUUAUUGAAGACUAACUUCUGCGAAAGCAUUUGCCAAGGAUGUUUUCAUUAAUCAAGAACGAAAGUUAGGGGAUCGAAGACGAUCAGAUACCGUCGUAGUCUUAACCAUAAACUAUGCCGACUAGGGAUCGGACGAUGUUAAUUUUUCUUGACUCGUUCGGCGCCUUACGGG
rnacentral:rRNA from 1 species